CCUACGGGAGGCAGCAGUGAGGAAUAUUGGUCAAUGGCCGGAAGGCUGAACCAGCAAUGCCGCGUGAAGGUCAGUGCCCUAUGGGCGUUAAACUUCUUUUGUGCGGGAGCAAUAAUGGUCACGUGUGGCCAGACGAGAGUACCGUACGAAUAAGCAUCGGCUAACUCCGUGCCAGCAGCCGCGGUAAUACGGGGGAUGCAAGCGUUAUCCGGAUUUAUUGGGUUUAAAGGGUGCGUAGGCUGGGAGGUAAGUCAGCGGUGAAAUGCCCCCGCUCAACGGGGUGAAGUGCCAUUGAUACUGCCUGGCUGGAAUGCGGAUGCCGUGGGAGGAAUGUGUGGUGUAGCGGUGAAAUGCAUAGAUAUCACACAGAACACCGAUUGCGAAGGCAUCUCACGAAGCCGCGAUUGACGCUGAUGCACGAAAGCGUGGGUAUCAAACAGGAUUAGAUACCCCUGUAGUC
rnacentral:rRNA from 1 species